rnacentral:tRNA from 1 species
UUAUAGUAUAAAUAUUACAAAGCCUUUUCACGGCUUGGAUCCUUGACCUAAGGUAAUUAAC